CCUACGGGAGGCAGCAGUGGGGAAUAUUGCACAAUGGGGGAAACCCUGAUGCAGCGACGCCGCGUGAGUGAAGAAGUAAUUCGUUAUGUAAAGCUCUAUCAGCAGGGAAGAAAAUGACGGUACCUGAGUCAGAAGCCCCGGCUAACUACGUGCCAGCAGCCGCGGUAAUACGGAGGGGGCAAGCGUUAUCCGGAUUUACUGGGUGUAAAGGGAGCGUAGACGGCAGUGCAAGUCAGGAGUGAAAGGCGGGGGCUCAACCCCCGGACUGCUCUGGAAACUGUACGGCUGGAGUGCAGGAGAGGUAGGUGGAAUGCCUAGUGUAGCGGUGAAAUGCGUAGAGAUUAGGAGGAACACCAGUGGCGAAGGCAGCUUACUGGACUGUGACUGACGUUGAGGCACGAAAGCGUGGGGAGCAAACAGGAUUAGAUACCCUUGUAGUC
rnacentral:rRNA from 1 species